rnacentral:lncRNA from 1 species
CUGAUCUGUCCGCCUGUGCCUGCCUCCGUGGGAUAAGAAAGCUCAGCUCAGGACCAGCCCAUCUGCCCGACUCAGCUCUAGAAGCACAAGCCACUCAGCUGAAGCUCACUGGGGUUGGGGGGCAGGGAUUCCCAUUGCCUCUGGCUGUGUCCGGCCUGGCCGGGGGUGGGGGGUGCCCCAAGGUUUUGAUCUGGGGCCAAAGCCUGAGGAAGCCCAUUGGUCCACAGGUCAGGCCCUGCUCUCCAAUCCAGCAUCAGCAAUUAGAAAGCUGACAUUCUGCUCUUCAUCUAUUUGAUUCUAUGUCUAUGUUUCAGUUUAUUCCAAAACUCAGAGAAAAGGAAAUGGAGUGUUAAUUAUUUGGAUUCUGAACCCCACAAGCUGUGACAGAGGGAAAUGGGAAGAGAUUCAGGAAGACACACACACAGAGACAUACACAUGUGCAUACACACAUGCAUACCUGCACGUAUACAAACACACACGCAUAAAGCAGAGAAGAGAUGCCUGACAUAGCAGGGGGGGUGGCUGGAGGGUGAGCAUGGACCCUCAGGUGAGCUCUGAAGGAUGAGUGGGAAUGAAUGAAGCAGACGGAGAUGGGAAAGGCAUUCCUGGCAUGGGGAAAGGCAUGCAAAGACAUGGGGGUAUGAAAGAGGCUUGGUGCUUAAGAAACUGUAAAAAGUCGGGGAGUUCCUGUCGUUGCUCAGUGGUUAACGAAUCUGACUAGGAACCAUGAGGUUGCAGGUUCGAUCCCUGGCCUGGCUCAGUGGGUUAAGGAUCCGGCAUUGUCGUGAGCUGUGGUGUAGAUCGCAGACUCGGUUCAUAUCCCAUGUUGCUGUGGCUCUGGCAUAGGCUGGUGGCUACAGCUCCGAUUAGACCCCUAGCCUGGGAACCUCCAUAUGCCAUGGGAGCGGCCCUAGAAAAGGCAAAAAAAAAAAAAAAAAGAAACUGUAAAAAGCUAUCCUUGUCUCAUGACCCCCAGGGACCUCACCUUCCUUAUCUGCAGCCCCCCUCACUCCAUCUAUGUCCAUGUCUGUGUCUUUGAGCCUUUUUUUGUUGUUGUCUUUUUUGGGCCAUACCCACGACGUACACCACAGCUCACGUCAGCUCACGUCAAUGCUUAGCCCACUGAGCGAGGCCAGGGAUCGAACCCGCGUCCUCAUGGAUGCUAGUCAGAUUGGUUUCUGCUGAGCUACAGUGGAAACUCCCCCUUUCCUCCAUCUUUGUGUUCAUAUCUACAUAGAUUUCAGAGCAUGGAGAUAAAAAACUUGGGAAUUAUCAGCAUAUAGUCGGCUUGUUAGAAAUGACAAUGAAUUACCCAUGAGAAUGGAUGAACUAACCCAAGGAGCGAGUGUGAGAAAUUCCCGCUGUGGCAUAGUGGGUUAAUGACCCAGUUUGUCUCUGUGGAGGUGCUGGUUUGAGUCCUGGCGCAGUGCAGUGGGUUAAAGAUCUGGUGUUGCUGCCGCUGUGGCAUAGGUCACAGCUUGGCUCAGACUCCAUCCCUGGCCCAGGAAUUUCCAUAUGCUGUGGGUGUGGCCAAAAAAAAAAAAAAAAAAGCAGUGAGUGUGGAUUGAAAAAAGAAAUCAGGAGUUCCCAUCGUGGCGCAGCAGAAACGAAUCUAACUAGGAACUGCGAGGUUGCAGGUUCGAUCCCUGGCCUGGCUCAGUGGGUUAAGGAUCCGCCGUUGCCAUGAGCUGUGGUGUAGGUUGCAGACGUGGCUCGGGUCUGGCGUUGCUGUGUCUGUGGUGUAGGCCAGCAGCUAUAGCUCCGAUUAGACUCCUAGCCUAGGAACCUCCAUAUACCGCGGUGUGGCCCUGAAAAGACAGAAAAAGAAAAAAAGAAAAAAGAAAGAAAGGAGCCACAUUGCAGGCGAUCCAUGCUCUCUGACUUUUCCACUGACGGCGCUCCCCAGUCUACCAGCCACAGGAUGGCUGGAACUCAAGAAGAAAGACACAGUCUUUUUAGCUUGAGGAGUCAGAGGGUAGAGCCUGAACUGUUGGAGCAAUUGGAAACUGGAGAGGGACAGGGGAUCGAAGACUGGAGGGAGACACAAGGGCAGCCCUAAAACCUCCAUAUAAAAAUCUCUUGUUGAUUAAUGAAUUUGUACCAGCACGAGAAAAAAUCCCAAGGUGCCCAAAAGGAAACUACAAUUGGAAGAUUGAAAGAGCGGGCAGAGCAUUCACUUGCUCUCCGAGCAAGGGAGACUGAGUCUGGAGUCUGAGCCCUGCCAAGUCAGAAGAGCUUGGUUCAUUUCAGGUUCAUUUCUGGUUCAUUUCAGACUGUCCAUUGAAACCCUAAAAGCACCAGGGCUGAAGAGGAAAGGUUUUGUCCAAGGACUGGGCAACUAAGCAAUGUCCGUAGCUUGUUUUAGGCAGACAGCUAACGAGUGGCAGGGCUGGGAUUUCAAUUCAAGGGCUCUGCCUCCAGAGCCCAUGGCCUUAACCACUGUAUUCAACGAUAUCUCUCUCCCUCCCUCUCUCUCUCUCUCUCUCUCUCUCUCUCUCUCUCUCUCUCGGCAUCCUGCAUCCUUCCUUUAAAGCACUCAUCACCAAAGUCAACAACCCAAUGGCAUUGCACAUUCAGCUGUUUGUCUCCUGAAACUAGACAUAGAAAGAGCAGAGGGUGUACACAGUGCCUGGUACACAGCCCAGUAAAAAUCUGUGGAAUGAAUGCAUGAGUAGUUUGUGAUAGGUGACUCACCAAAGCCUAAGCGUGUAUAAUGGACUAAUAUGUUUUCUAUCGGUAAACACGUAUCAUUAAAAAUGCAUUCCUGCCCUAUAAUUUCACCCCCUCUUAUGACCCUUGAGGGAAUUAAAUUACCAAUAAUCACUCUGGCUUGUAGCUGGGUUUAUUUGUACAUAUCUGUUCCUAUUUUUAAGGACGAUCAGGAAUGUCUAAGUAUACUAUGAAUGAUGCAGUAUUUUGAUUAAUCAGCUCAGUAGGGGAAAUUUCCAUGGGUCGUCAAACUGAACAUAAAGACAGGGCCCAUGCCGAGAAUGAAUGGAGUGGAGGGGGAAAGGGAGAGAGAAAGACAGAGAUGGGAAUUCUUGGUAGCCAGAAAGGAGGCUUGAGUCAACACUACAGAACUUUGAAAGUUUCUGUUUUAUCAUAAACUUAGGUAAGCAGCUCUGUAUUAGUUUCUUGCCCCAGCCACGACAAAUUGCCACAAAUGGCAAAAACAAGCAACCCCUCCCCCAAAAACAUGCCAAAAAAGAGUUUAAAAAUGGUUAAAAGGGGUUUUCCUGUUGUGCUUUAGGGGUAACAAACCCAACCAGUAUCCAUGAGGAUGUGGGUUUGAUCCCUGGCCUCGCUCCGUGGGCUAAGGAUCCAGCAUUGCUACAAGCUGUGGCAUAGGUCAUAGAUACAGGCUCAGAUCUAGUGUUGCAAUGGCUGUGGUGUAGACCCGUAGCUGCAGCUCCAAUUUGACCCCUAGCCUGGGAACCUCCAUAUGUGGCAGGUGUGGCCCUAAAAGAAAUUAAAAAAAAAUGUUAAAAGAGCAGAAAUGUGUUGCCUUGCAGGUUUGAAAGCCAGAAGUCCAAAAGCAAAGUAUCAGCAGGGUCACACUCCCUCAAAAACUCUAGGGGAGAGUUCCUUGACUCUUCCAGCCUCUGGAGGCUCCUGGCAUCCUUAGCUUAUGGCAGCACCACUCCAAAUCUCUGCCUCCAUCUUCACAUGGCCUUCUGCUCUGUGUGCAUCAAACCUCCCUCUGUUUUCUCUUUUAAGGACAGUAUUUGUUGGAUUUAGAGCCCAUCCUAUAAACCCAGGAUGAUUUCAUCUCAAAAUCUUUAACUUGAUUACUGCUGCAAAGACCUUAUUUGCAAAUAAGGUCACACUCACAGGUCCAGGGGAUAGGACUGGGACAUAUCUGGUUGGGGACAGGAUUCAAUCCAGUGCACCAGCCAUGAUGGUGUCACUGCCUUAAUUCCCUUUAAUGGAAAACAGAGAGGAGGCUGUGCUCACCAUUUCCCAUUGACCCCACGUGUUGCUGAGCACGUCCCCUGCUGCCAUAUGUGCUCCCCAAAUUGGAGCCUGUUCUGGCCCAAGCACAAUCACUCUGAAAGAUCCCCACUCCCAUGAGAUGGUAACAAAGACUGAAAAGGUUACUCAAGGUCAAAUACCUGGAGGAGUCAAGGUUUGAACCCAGGUGCGUCUUCUCCAAAGCCAGGGCUACAGCCAUCCCACACUGCCUGAAACACUCCCAUUAUCAGAGACCCACUGUACUCUCUAAACUCUGUUGUUAAAAUACACACUCUUCCUGAGAGAGGGGGUCCGAGCCUUCAUGAAAACCACAAUUGUGGAGGAGUGUCUUCGAUCCCCUUCUAGAACACAAGAGCUCCAGGGGUAUCUGUGGGGAGAGAAGCAAUAAAGAGAGGACUCUGAUAAAAGGGUAAAUUUACAAAUUGAGAAACUGAUGCCUAGAGAGGUUAAGAGAAUUGACCAAGAGCACAGAGCAAAUCAGUGGUGUAGUCAAAAAUCACACCUGAGGGAGUUCCCGUUGUGGCGCCGUGAAAAUGAAUCCGACUAGGAACCAUGAGGAUGCGGGUUCAAUCCCUGGCCUUGCUCAGUGUGUUAAGGAUACGGCGUUGCCAUGAGCUGCGGUGUAGGUCGCAGACACAGCUCGGAUCCUGCGUCGCCGUGGCUCUGGCGUAGGCCAGGUGGCUACAACUCUGAUUACACCCCUAGCCUGGGAACCUCCAUAUGCCGCAGGUGUGGCCCUAAAAAGACAAAAAAACAAAAAAAGAAAAAAAAAAAUCACACCUGAGAUUCCUGACUCUGCCUAAGGAAACUUGGACGGCAUUGGCCAACCUGAAAUAGCCUAAAUUGGCUGUGCCAAAGGUUUGCUGUCACCAGAAGCA